rnacentral:piRNA from 1 species
GGCGAGUCACCGCCCGUC